AAUAUAUCACAUGAUAAUCUUUAU
rnacentral:siRNA from 1 species